rnacentral:tRNA from 2 species
GGGGAUGUAGCUCACUUGGGAGAGCGCUUGAAUGGCAUUCAAGAGGUGGGGGGUUCGAUUCCCCUCAUCUCCA